rnacentral:rRNA from 1 species
ACGCACGCUGGCGGCGUGCUUAACCCAUGCCAGUCGAACGGAAAGGCCCUGCUUGCAGGGUGCUCGAGUGGCGAACGGGUGAGUAACACGUGGGUGAUCUGCCCCUUACUUUGGGAUAAGCCUGGGAAACUGGGUCUAGUACUGGAUAGGACCAUGCUGUAGGUGGUGUGGUGGAAAGAUUAGUUUCGGUAAGGGAUGAGCUCGCGGCCUAUCAGCUUGUUGGUGGGGUAAUGGCCUACCAAGGCGUCGACGGGUAGCCGGCCUGAGAGGGUGGACGGCCACAUUGGGACUGAGAUACGGCCCAGACUCCUACGGGAGGCAGCAGUGGGGAAUAUUGCACAAUGGGCGCAAGCCUGAUGCAGCGACGCCGCGUGGGGGAUGACGGCCUUCGGGUUGUAAACUCCUUUCAGCCAUGACGAAGCCCUUGUGGUGACGGUAGUGGUAGAAGAAGCACCGGCUAACUACGUG